UUUAUUAGAUAAGUUUUUUAAGAUUUUAGAUGAGAUUUAAGAUUUGAGAUGUCAAAUGAGCCUCAAAAUCCACCUUUUGCAUAACCAUCUUGAUCGUUUCCCUGAAAAUCUGGGUGCAGUCAGUGAAGAACGAGGCGAACGCUUCCACCAGGAUAUCAAGGUGAUGGAGCAAUCAUACCAGGGAUGCUGGAACACCAACAUGAUGUGUGAUUACUGUUGGUCACUUCAUCGAGAACAACAGAGUGGCUCGCAUAGGAGAAAAAGCUACUUGAGAAGUUUUACAGAAAAAAAGAGAAAGAAAAUACAAAAGCAUUGACUCCUGAAAUGCUUGUACAGACCUAUACUAUGAGAAGAUAAAAAUUAGAUAAAAGGUAUUAUUCUAAUAAUGUAUCAUUUUAAUGUAUUCCGGUAUUUUGUGUUUUUCAAAUUAUUAUAUUGUAGAAUAAGCCAGUGCCAUAUUGUGGGAAAACUGUGGGUGAUACGUAAAAUCUAAUUUCAGAUUCUUUUUUAGCGCCAAAAAAUACAUAAAAUUCACAUAAAUUUAUAAGAAAAGUUUUUUAAAGCUUUUUUUUCGUUGGCCUGUGUAAUUAUAAAUGACAUAUAUAUUAAUAUGUUUGUUUUUUGAUUGACUUUUUAAUGUUGAUAUUUUCGUUGUACCAAAUUCUUUUAAAACAAUAACCAAGUACUCUUAAAUUCAACAGAAAAAUGCUGUACUAAAUUUUCCCCAUUUCCAAAAUUCAAAUUCCUCGGAAGGGUAUUCAACCCAUGAAUCAGGCGUCUGAAACUAGCGUCUUAGCUCAUCUUGAAAGAGAAUGAACUAUAGUAGAGGAGCUGAUAUAAGAACGACCUUCACCGAUCUGUUUAAUAAUAAUAAUAAUAAUAAUAGCUUUAUUGCCCAACAGUUUCCCAUUUACAGGACAAUGAUAAAAAUAUUACAUAAUUUAUAACACCUAUUAUAGGUAAGAUAAAGAUUUAAGCAGUAGUACCAAAAAAAUAACAUUAAUAAUACAAGUUGGACUAAAAUUAAUAUAAAUUAAUAAAAAAAAUAAAAUAAAAAAUUAGUGCUUAUUUCAGACACUCAAUAGCUACUUUUAUAAAGUUCCUUUGAGAACAUGAAAAAAUGUCACAAUGCUUACCAAUAACAUUAAAAUUUCUACACAUUACAUUAAUAGGAGCCUUACAUAGAAUAUUUGUACGAGCUCUUGUACACCUAAAUAAUACAUUUGUUCUUAAAUUUGACCUUGGAAUAUUAAAAUUAAUGUUUUCUAAUAUUGAAAUACAAUCAAUUGCAUUAUUAACAAGUUUGUACAAAAAAA
rnacentral:lncRNA from 1 species